rnacentral:rRNA from 1 species
GGAUUAGAUACCCUGGUAGUCCUAGCUGUAAACGAUGUAGAUUAGGUGUUGGAGGAGUCGAUCCCUUCAGUGCCGACGUUAACACAUUAAAUCUACCACCUGGGGAGUACGGUCGCAAGACUGAAACUCAAAGGAAUUGACGGGGACCCGCACAAGCGGUGGAGCAUGUGGUUUAAUUCGAGGCUACACGAGGAACCUUACCUAGGCUUGACAUGUAUUGAGUAGUCCUGAUGAAAGUCGGGGCGACCGUAUCCAAUCGGAGCUUUACACAGGUGCUGCAUGGCUGUCGUCAGCUCGUGUUG